CGCGGCCUAUCAGCUUGUUGGCGAGGUAACGGCUCACCAAGGCAACGACGGGUAGCUGGUCUGAGAGGAUGGCCAGCCACAUUGGGACUGAGAUACGGCCCAGACUCCUACGGGAGGCAGCAGUGGGGAAUCUUGCGCAAUGGCCUAACGGCUGACGCAGCGACGCCGCGUGUAGGAUGAAGCUCUUCGGAGUGUAAACUACUGUUGCCCGGGACGAAUAACUCGAUUAAUCGAGCCUGACAGUACCGGGUGAGGAAGCACCGGCUAACUCCGUGCCAGCAGCCGCGGUAAUACGGGGGGUGCGAGCGUUGUCCGGAAUCACUGGGCGUAAAGGGCGCGUAGGUGGUUUGAUAAGGGUGUGGUGAAAGUCCGGGGCUCAACCCCGGAUCUGCCGUGCCGACUGUCAAACUCGAGGACUGUAGAGGCAGACGGAAUUCCGGGUGUAGCGGUGGAAUGCGUAGAGAUCCGGAGGAAGACCGGUGGCGAAGGCGGUCUGCUGGGCAGUUUCUGACACUGAGGCGCGACAGCGUGGGGAGCAAACAGGAUUAGAUACCCUGGUAAUCCACGCCGUAAACGAUGGGUACUAGGUGCCUGGGGGAGCGACCCUCUGGGUGCCGGCGCUGACGCAGGAAGUACCCCGCCUGGGGAGUACG
rnacentral:rRNA from 1 species